GGAGGUAUUUGGGAAAGGCUCUGACCUGUAGCAAUUUUACCCCUUUGCUGUUGGCAAACAGAACCAAACUUAUAGACCUCCUCUACAGCCUUCUGCCUUAUGUCCAGUAAAAUUCUUACCUGAGCAUAUUAUUUUAUUACUGUCCUCUACUAAAAAAUUAAGAAUCAAUCAAUACACGUUGACAUUCUAUUUGCUCUUUGGGUAAGUGGCCAGGCUUUGAGUUAAUGCAGAAAAUGAUUUAGUAAAUAUUUUUAAACAUUACAAGGGUCUCCAGCUUUGCAUCCUAUGACGUUUCCUUAACUCUAAUCUAACCACAUAUUUAAGGUUAUUUUUAGAACCCCACUUCUAGGUUCAAAUUCCUAUAUUUUUAAGGUCCUGCCAAGCUAUUAUAGCAAACAAACCUCAAACCCAGUGGCUUAAAGAAUAAAAACAUUACUAGAAGAUAGUACAUCACAGUGGGUAAAAGCACAGACAGGAGAGCCCAGUUUUCUGGAUUUGAGUUCCAGUUACUAUCCGUGCAACUCUGGCCUUUUCUGUUUUCUUCUCUUUAAAAAUGAGAUAAUAAGGGUAACUAGCACUUAGGGUUGGUAAGAGGAUUAAAAAAGUUAGUAUAUGUAAAAUUUAGAUAAGACUUAUUAUAUGCCAGUGUUGUAUAUAUGCUUCUUAAUUUUAAAAAAUAUUUAUAAUCUCUUUCACAUCAGAGAUCACAGAUGAUUGUUCCUGAGACAGAUGAGUAUGGAAAUUCUGAUCCUUAUGGUUCACCAGGAGUCUAGCAGUUUUCACACAGAGGCAUUAACAUCUUCAUGAUCAAUCAUGUUGGAUUCCAUUAUAUUGAAUUUCACUUCAUGGAAAAAAGUGGGAGGAGCCAAAUUUCUUUAGCAUGACUUGGAAAUGGCAUAAACCACUUCUACUGCCAUUCUGUCAACAACCGCAUAGUCAUAUGGCAGUACCUAACUGGAAGGGAAACUGUGAAACCUAGUUUAGCUGGGUAGCCUUGUGCCCAGAGAGGAAGGAUUUGGGUAGGUGGUUAGUGUCCUCUAUCAUAGCUCCUUAAACUGAAUCAAAAAGAGUUUGUAAAUCAUUAUAAUUCUAUCACCAUUAAAUAAAGUGUUUGUAGUAAAAUUUUAUUCAUAUUAAAAGAAACUAAAAACUAGACAAUGAAGUGUUAAUAAAAUUAUGAUGGAUAAAUACAUUGUAGUGAAUUCAUACAAUGAUAUAGUAUUGAAUGAUGUACACCAUAACUAGAGCUAUUUGCAACAACAUGAAUGAAUUUCACAAAUAAUGUCAAGCUGAAGAAAAUAAAAGUUAAUAUGUGUAGUAUGAUUUUAUUUGGGGGAAUUCCAAAAAAGGCAAAAUUAGACAAUGUUGUUUGGGGAUGCAUGCAUAGGUGGUUAUGUUAGAAAGAACAGGGAGAUGAUGAUUAUCACAAAAGUUAGAAUAGUGGUUGCCUCCAAAGAAGUUGGGAUCUGUGGUCAGGGAAAGAUACAUGGGGAAAUUUCUGAAGUGCUUGCACUAUUACAUUUCCUGACUUAGAUAGUGGUUUACACUGGCAUCUCUUUAUAAUUAUUCUAUAACAUACACAUACACACACACACACACACAUAUACCCUUAGGUAUAUACAAUAGAUAUCUCACAACAGAUUUUUCAUGCAUAUGGAAAAGCUAAGUCAACUUCAAGAAAAUAAAAAUGAAAGGCAAGCAUAAGACUAAUAAUAAGAACUACUUAGGAUUUAUGCAUGAAAAAAACAAAUAGACCAAUGGAAUAUAAUAGAGAUCUCAGCAACAGACAUAUUUCUGUCUAGGGAAUUCAAAUAAGAGAAAAUUAGCUUCAUCAAUUAAUAGAGGAAGGAUAUUUGUUUAGGAGAUAGAAGUGGGAGAAUGGACUCACUCUACGGAAGGAAAUAAAACUGCCCUACCUAACACCACUAGGUAACUACCAAGCAAGGAUCAACUCUAUAACCUUUAGUGUAAUAGGAGACAUUAUAGCAGAGUAUCAUUAUGACCUAAAGCUAGGGAAGGACUUCUGAAAUUAGGUUUAAAAAAUAUAAGACAAGAAAGUUGAUUGAAUUCAAGUCAUCAAAAUUAAAGAUUUCUAUUCAGCGAAAGGCACCAUUAACAAAGAUAAUGGAUGAAUUAUCAGAAUGAGAAAUAUUUGCAAGUUAAACUGACAAGGUAUUAUAAAAAGUAGAAUAUAUUAAGAACUCUUGAGAAUAACAAAGUGGAGGUAGUAACCCCAAGGAAUAACAGGCAAAUGGUGUGAAGAAGCAAUUUGCAGAAGGGGGGGGAAAUGAAGCACAUGAAAAGCUCAGAAUCUUUACUUAUCAGAUUAAAACAGCACUUUUAAAUUACCUAUUAGGCUAGCAAAAUUAAAAGGCUCAUAUUGUCAAGUUUUGAUGGGAAGUUAAGGAUAUAGAGAAACUCGUGCAUUGUGAGUGGGAGUAUAGAUAAUUUUGGUCACAAUAACUAAGACCCAGAGCUCAAGGAAUCAUAAGAACUGUAGGAUCUAGAGCCACACCUGCCACCAAAAUCCAAACUAGUAGAAUAGAUGCUUACUAUACUGCCUUUUUCCUCAAUGUUUCAAAUUUUGGUUUUGUUCAAGCCCUUCUGAUUUAAGAUACAAAACUGCAUCCUAUACUGUGGCUUCAAGAGUUGUGGAAAUAGAGGUUCUUGUUUCCACCUCUGUAGGUCAUGAAGGUGCAUUAGAAGUGUGGUAUCUGACUCCUCCCACACUCACCUAUGCCCCAGUUGAAGUUCAGGCACUGGUAUUUCAUAAAAUCUCCUUACACGAUUCUAAUACAUAGUUAUUAAGAUUUUAAAACACUGCAUGCAAAGGAUGCUGGGAAAGAGGUGGCAAGUGCUGAUUUAGUGUCUCCAUCACACCACAAAGGAAGAUCUAGGUUGCAGACACAGUGUUACUGAUGUACUUGUGUACACACCAUUUGUCAAAGUACUGCAGGAAAUUGUCUAUAGCAAGAAAACAAACCACUUACUUUUUGCCAAAGCUCAUUUUUCCCAUGCAAUGAGGUUUUUCAGAAAGCAAUUUACUGGAGAUGUAAAAGACCAUAAUUAGCACAAUAUAGGGCAAGUCAUCCAACUGAGGAAAUCUGAAUGUGCUUAAGUAGGAACAGAGAAUGUAGUGGAAACUUUAAACACACAAUUUGAUAUUUUCCACGACAGACAGAGCAGAAAAAGCUCAGUCCAUCAGGGAUGACUUUGGAAAAUGGUGAAAGGAACACUUACCACAAAAUUGUGUUCAUUGUGUUCAAAGUUCCAGGCUUUAUCCACUAGAGGAGUCCUGUGGUUUCUACCAGCUAACUGAUGUAUCACAUAAAAUGCCACUGGUUCCCUCAAGAAGUAAAACCUAAAUGAAGUGCAGAUGGAGCAUUUGGUGGACUGUAAGCAAUUUUCACUACAGAAAAAAUUGUGGCUUCUGUAAGGAAUCUGAAGACUGUCUGCGGGCAGAAUGAAAAUUCAAGAUCUUUGAAAAAUAGAUUGUUCAUGAGUGGAUUCUAGAAGAGCCCACUGCUAUUCAAAACAAUCACGUCAUAUGCUAAAAGUCACACAAACACACAUACACACACACCAUAAAUAACUAAUGGAAACAAUAAAGUCAGAUGUGACCUACCAUUAAUAGGUUUAAAUAUUUUGGUCCUUCCCCUUUAUCCUGCUACCCUCACUCCUUUCCAGGAUUUUUCCUGAUGAAGCACUCUAUCAAUAAAUCAUGUGCUUCUGAAAUCCUCAGCUUCUGGGGAACCCAACAUUGACCUUCAUCAUGAUUCCCAUUUGCCCAAGGGAGAAUCUAGAUACUCUCUCAACCUCUUUGGUAGGUUGGAUAACUGUUGUUCAAAUAUCCUUGUUCUUUUCUUGGUAUGUUACUCUCAGUAGGCUGGUGACACAUCUCUGUGUUGUUGAAUUCAAAAGUGGCUAUAUGGCUUACUUUGGUCAUUGAAAUGCUGGUGAAGUAAGACCCGUCUUCCAUGUAGAAAUAUUAAGAACUAGUGUAUUUUUCACUGUGUCACUUUUCUCUUUGCUCCAAAACUGGUAAUGUCUGCUCUGCUAGACUGGAUCUUGGAUUGGUGAUGAUAGGAAGCAGUGCUGCAGCCAACUUGCAAUGAAUAUGUAGCAUGAGUGAUAAAUAAACCAAUGUUGUAAGCCUCAGUUGUAGCACACUGCAGUGGCUAAUUCUUUUUCAUUUGUUGUGUAUAGUAUUUCAUUGUAUAAAUAUCCCACAAUUUAGUUAUCCAUUCUACUAUUGAUGAACACUUGUGUUGCAUCCAGAUUUUUUUUUUAAAUUACAAACUAAGCUGCAAUUAAUCUUCUUAUGGAGUGUAUUUUAAUGCACAUAUGUAAACAUUUCUGUUGGUUAUAGACACAGAAUUAGAGUUACUGAGAAAUAGGAUACAUCCAUUUAUAGCACAUAUGUUUAGUUCCACCUAAACAUCUGAGCAGUUUUGCAAAAUGGCAGUACCAACAUAUUUUCCCAAUAAUAAUGCUGAAGAGUUCUGGUUGCUCCCUUUCUUUCCAAGAGUAUCAAUCGUUCUUUUUCUUUUUUAAAUUUUAAGUAUUCUGAUAAGUGUGUGGGACUAUAUCAUGAUUUUUAUUUGCAAUCCUCAGAUGACUAAUGGAAUAAAUACCUUUUCAUAUGCUUCUUGGUCAUUUGGAGUCUUCUUUUACGCAGUUAAUGUUCAAAGUUUGGCCUAUUUAAAAACUGUGUUGACAUUAUUUUUAACUUAUAGGUAUGAAUACUUUGUGGAUACUUAUAUUGAAAACAUAUUCUUCCACUUUUUGCUGAAUCUUUUCAUUUUCUCAAUAGUGUCUUCUGAUGAACGAAAAUUUUCAACUUUAAUAAAAUCUAAUUUAUCAAUUU
rnacentral:lncRNA from 1 species